rnacentral:rRNA from 2 species
AAAAAGUCGUAACAAGGUCUCCGUAGGUGAACCUGCGGAGGGAUCAUUACACAAAUAUGAAGGCGGGCUGGAACCUCUCGGGGUUACAGCCUUGCUGAAUUAUUCACCCUUGUCUUUUGCGUACUUCUUGUUUCCUUGGUGGGUUCGCCCACCACUAGGACAAACAUAAACCUUUUGUAAUUGCAAUCAGCGUCAGUAACAAAUUAAUAAUUACAACUUUCAACAACGGAUCUCUUGGUUCUGGCAUCGAUGAAGAACGCAGCGAAAUGCGAUAAGUAGUGUGAAUUGCAGAAUUCAGUGAAUCAUCGAAUCUUUGAACGCACAUUGCGCCCUUUGGUAUUCCAAAGGGCAUGCCUGUUCGAGCGUCAUUUGUACCCUCAAGCUUUGCUUGGUGUUGGGCGUCUUGUCUCUAGCUUUGCUGGAGACUCGCCUUAAAGUAAUUGGCAGCCGGCCUACUGGUUUCGGAGCGCAGCACAAGUCGCACUCUCUAUCAGCAAAGGUCUAGCAUCCAUUAAGCCUUUUUUUCAACUUUUGACCUCGGAUCAGGUAGGGAUACCCGCUGAACUUAAGCAUAUCAAUAAGCGGAGGAAAAGAAACCAACAGGGAUUGCCCUAGUAACGGCGAGUGAAGCGGCAAC